rnacentral:rRNA from 1 species
GAUGAACGCUGGCGGCGUGCCUAAUACAUGCAAGUCGAGCGAACGGACGAGAAGCUUGCUUCUCUGAUGUUAGCGGCGGACGGGUGAGUAACACGUGGAUAACCUACCUAUAAGACUGGGAUAACUUCGGGAAACCGGAGCUAAUACCGGAUAAUAUUAUGAACCGCAUGGUUCAAAAGUGAAAGACGGUCUUGCUGUCACUUAUAGAUGGAUCCGCGCUGCAUUAGCUAGUUGGUAAGGUAACGGCUUACCAAGGCAACGAUGCAUAGCCGACCUGAGAGGGUGAUCGGCCACACUGGAACUGAGACACGGUCCAGACUCCUACGGGAGGCAGCAGUAGGGAAUCUUCCGCCAUGGGCGAAAGCCUGACGGCGCAACGCCGCGUGAGUGAUGAAGGUCUUCGGAUCGUAAAACUCUGUUAUUAGGGAAGAACAUAUGUGUAAGUAACUGUGCACAUCUUGACGGUACCUAAUCAGAAAGCCACGGCUAACUACGUG